UACGUAGGGCGCAAGCGUUGUCCGGAAUUAUUGGGCGUAAAGAGCUCGUAGGCGGUUUGUCGCGUCUGCUGUGAAAACCUAAGGCUCAACCCUGGGCCUGCAGUGGGUACGGGCAGACUAGAGUGCGGUAGGGGAGACUGGAAUUCCUGGUGUAGCGGUGAAAUGCGCAGAUAUCAGGAGGAACACCGGUGGCGAAGGCGGGUCUCUGGGCCGUAACUGACGCUGGAGGAGCGAAAAGCAUGGGGAGCGAACAGG
rnacentral:rRNA from 1 species